rnacentral:tRNA from 1 species
GCCAACGUAGCUCAGCUGGUAGAGCAGCGCAUUCGUAAUGCGCAGGUCGUGGGUUCGAUCCCCACCGUUGGCU